ACAAAAUGAAACUGAGGAGGUCAUUUUUAAUGUAUAAGUAAGAGAGGAUGGGUAUCAUCACAAGCCACGCACUUGUACACAACACCAACACCAAUCUGUGGCCUUCAUCCUCUCCUUUCUCAUCUCUUCUGGCUCCUUGCUUCAGACAAGGUAGAGCUGAGAAGAUGGUGAUGAUGAGCCAGCAAUUAGGGAGGCUUGUUAGGAGCCUCAAAUCAAAGAUGAAGUCACUGAGGGGAAAUAAGAGGCCAAUCUACGAUAAAAUGGACAAGACAGAGAGCAUGAGGGUGGAGAUCAGAAGCAGGAGGGCUCAGAAGCUGAUAGUCAAGAACCUCAAGAUGGCAGACUCCAUGGUCAACAGCAACAACAAAGCAUUCAUCUUUUGAUCAAUUAGUAGCAUAUAACGGUUAAUAUAUAUGGUUCCGUGUACUGUUAUCACCUCCGCCCACCAUGAGACAAUUGAUCUCAUGAACACAUGUGAUGAAGAGAGGACCAUCAUGUGGCUCUUACUUAUGUGUUGUGGUUUUACAAGCUGAAGAACUUGACAUUAAACAGUAAGAAUAUAAUAACUUCAGCUCAA